AAAGGGUGAGCUCAACUAGCCCAGUAAAGAAUAUUAUGACUAAGAUAAUAUACAACAAAUUAUCGUUAGUCUUCAACAGGGAAAAAUCUAAUAGAAUACAAUAGACAACAAGUUUUAGAUCAACAAAUGCAGCGGAAACAACAAUCCAUUAGAAGAGUCACGUAGAGAAAGAAUUCUACUGUCUUCUAAGGUUUAAAAGUCCAUCAUCAAUAGUUUAUCCCUGUAAUAACAAUCAAUAUACAUCUUUAAUCAUCUUUGCACUACAGGCCAAAGAUAUUCAUUUGUAUCACCAG
rnacentral:lncRNA from 1 species